CGUCUUUUUUUUCCUAUUAAAGUAUGCCGUCUCGUUAUUCGUUUAGUAGCCGAAUCGUCGUUGGUGAAGACGGGUUAUUAAACUUAUAGGACACUAGACAUAAUGUGCAGUGACGUAGUCGUACAUAAAAGUGAGCACCUCCCUUCCGAAAAAAUUUUCUGAAUUCAAUAUUAGUUGCAGGUUCGUAAUCUCAGUUAUUACCACGAUUAUUUGUAUUUAUUUAUUUAUUUAUAUUGUCCGUGCGGAAAUGUGUUUUACAUGACAUAGACUUUCAACCUUUUAUUGUAAUUCGUACUAUGUUUUAGUUAUUUAACGAAACGAUA